AUGCGAUAAGUAAUGUGAAUUGCAGAUACAGUGAAUCAUCGAAUCUUUGAACGCAAAUGGCACUCUAUGGUAUUCCGUAGAGUACGUCUGUUUGAGCGUCGCGAAUGUCUCCACUAAUGAUUUUUUUUUUGAAAGUCAUUUUUGGGUUUUGAGGUUGUCUUUUAAUAAAAGACCUCCUUCAAGUAAAUUAGUAAUGACCUUAUGAAGGGUUAAUACUGUGUGUUAUAGUGGAUCUUAUCCAUCACCAGUCAGAGACCUAGUCUCGCCUUAGUAAGGUUGUUUGCUUCAAACAGUCCUUUUUUUGGACAAACAUUUUCAUAUCAUGACCUCAAAUCAGAUGGGACUACCCGCUGAACUUAA
rnacentral:misc_RNA from 1 species